rnacentral:rRNA from 1 species
AUUGAACGCUGGCGGCAUGCUUUACACAUGCAAGUCGAACGAGUGGCGAACGGGUGAGUAAUAUAUCGGAACGUACCCAGAAGUGGGGGAUAACGUAGCGAAAGUUACGCUAAUACCGCAUACUUUUGGAGCGUCCGAUAUCUGAUUAGCUAGUUGGUAGGGUAAAGGCCUACCAAGGCGACGAUCAGUAGCUGGUCUGAGAGGACGACCAGCCACACUGGAACUGAGACACGGUCCAGACUCCUACGGGAGGCAGCAGUGGGGAAUUUUGGACAAUGGGCGCAAGCCUGAUCCAGCAAUGCCGCGUGAGUGAAGAAGGCCUUCGGGUUGUAAAGCUCUUUUGUCAGGGAAGCGUUACCCGCAGAAGAAGCACCGGCUAACUCCGUGCCAGCAGCCGCGGUAAUAC